rnacentral:rRNA from 1 species
CGGACGGGUGAGUAACGCGUAAAGAACUUAGCCCUUUAGACUGGGAGUAACAGAGGGAAACUUACUGAUAAUACUGGAUAAGUUAGUAUAUCGCAUGAUAUGCAAAUGAAAAGCUACGGCACUAAAGGAGAGCUUUGCGUCCUAUUAGCUAGUUGGUAAGGUAAGAGCUUACCAAGGCGAUGAUAGGUAGCCGGCCUGAGAGGGUGGACGGCCACAAGGGGACUGAGAUACGGCCCUUACUCCUACGGGAGGCAGCAGAG